rnacentral:rRNA from 1 species
AACGUAGGAGGCGAGCGUUAUCCGGAGUUACUGGGCGUAAAGGGCGCGUAGGCGGCCCGCUAAGUCGAACGUGAAAUCCCCGAGCUCAACUCGGGAACUGCGUCCGAUACUGGCGGGCUUGAAUCCGGGAGAGGGAUGCGGAAUUCCAGGUGUAGCGGUGAAAUGCGUAGAUAUCUGGAGGAACACCGGUGGCGAAGGCGGCAUCCUGGACCGGCAUUGACGCUGAGGCGCGAAAGCUAGGGGAGCAAACGGG